rnacentral:rRNA from 1 species
UGGAGAAGCGUUUUCCGCGUCGGACCGUGUACAAGUCUUGUGGAACGGAGCGUCAUAGAGGGUGAGAAUCCCGUCUCUGACACGGACUACCGAUGCUUUUGUGAUGCGCUCUCGAAGAGUCGAGUUGUUUGGGAAUGCAGCUCAAAAUGGGAGGUAAAUUCCUUCUAAAGCUAAACAUUGGCUAGAGACCGAUAGCGAACAAGUUCCGUGAGGGAAAGAUGAAAAGCACUUUGGAAAGAGAGUUAAACAGUACGUGAAAUUGUUGAAAGGGAAACGCUUGAAGUCAGUCGCGUUGGCCGAGACUCAGCCUGGCUUGCCUGGUGUACUUCUCGGUCGACGGGUCAGCAUCAGUUUUGACCGUCGGAUAAAGGUUGGAGGAAUGUGGCAUCUCUCGGGAUGUGUUAUAGCCUCUGAUUCGCAUACGGCGAUUGGGACUGAGGAACUCAGCACGCCUUUACGGUCGGGGUUCGCCCACGCAACGUGCUUAGGAUGCUGGCAUAAUGGCUUUAAGCGACCCGUCUUGAAACACGG